AUUGAACGCUGGCGGCAUGCCUUACACAUGACAAGUCGAACGGUAACGGGCCUUCGGGUGCCGACGAGUGGCGAACGGGUGAGUAAUGUAUCGGAACGUACCUUUCAGUGGGGGAUAACGUAGCGAAAGUUACGCUAAUACCGCAUAUUCUGUGAGCAGGAAAGCAGGGGAUCGCAAGACCUUGCGCUGAUUGAGCGGCCGAUAUCAGAUUAGGUAGUUGGUGGGGUAAAGGCUCACCAAGCCAACGAUCUGUAGCUGGUCUGAGAGGACGACCAGCCACACUGGAACUGAGACACGGUCCAGACUCCUACGGGAGGCAGCAGUGGGGAAUUUUGGACAAUGGGCGCAAGCCUGAUCCAGCCAUUCCGCGUGCAGGAUGAAGGCCUUCGGGUUGUAAACUGCUUUUGUACGGAACGAAACGGUCUGCCCUAAUACGGCAGGCUAAUGACGGUACCGUAAGAAUAAGCACCGGCUAACUACGUG
rnacentral:rRNA from 1 species